AAUAAUUACCGUUAAUGGUGCCAUAACAAGCAUCCGAAAGGAUUUGAAAAAACUACGGAAGCGUAACAUUGCACUUCAGCAACUUAUUGAGGAAAAACUGGCGUUGUUGAGCGACAAUUGGAAUGAAUUGACAAAUACACCAGUUCAAGAUCCUCGUGAUGGAAUCAGACGAUUUGGGAUGCCACCUCAACGUGGUUUUUGCAGGAAGAAUUCUAAUAAUGAAGACAUCAUCCAUUUGGGACAGAAUAUAUGAUUAUCGAAAGAGACUUAUAACAGAGUAAGAUGUGAGGCUCGUUCCUGUAGCCCAUUUAUUAAGAAUUUAAGCUUAGCCAUCUUUGGAGAGGAAAUGAGGACAAAGAGUGUGACCGGUCGGAAAGAUCCACGUACAGGUCAGACGAAAGAAGCCCUUCCCCCGAAGGAAAUGAUUGCCAUCAGAGAUAUCUACUAUGUUCAUUUAAAAAAUGACAGACAAUGGAGUGACGAGAAGAAAAUUCAAGAGGAAUUGGGGAAAAUCCCACGUUAUGUGGCGGAGAAGAUUAAGGACAUGAACAAGCCUCCUCGACGGAGGAGAAAUGUACCAGAAUAAGAUACUGAAACGACGAGUAAAUCAUAGAGUACAACUUUAUGGAGAGUUGACAAGGAGAAAAAGGAAUAUAAAAUAAUCAUUAUUUCAUACGUACUUGCGAAAAGAGUAACUCGAACAACAUCACUGAUUGUAUCAAUAUCAGCGC